AUGGGGCCAGGGACCUCGAGAUGAGUCUUGGGGACCCCAAGGGUGGCCCUGUGGGGCCUGAGGACCUCACGAUGGGGCUGGAGACCCCCAAGGGUGCUCCUAUGGGGCCAGGGGACCCCCAGGGCACUGGAGACCACCCACCACGGCACAGAGAGCCGGACGCCACAGAGCAGCACUGCUUUAUUGCUCGCCCCGAUCCGGGAUCCCAAACUGGGGUGGGUUCAACCCAACUGGGGCGGGAUCAACCCAACCGGAGUGGGAUCAACCCAACCGGAGUGGGAUCAACCCAACUGGGGGGGAUCAACCCAACCACAGUGAGAUCAACACAACUGGGGCAGGAUCAACCCAACUGGGGUAGGAUCAUCCAAUCGGGAGAGGGAACAACCCAACCGGUGCAGGAUCAACCCAACCGGUACGGGAUCAUCCCAACCAGGGUGGGAUCAACCCAACUGGGUGGGAUCAACCCAACCAGGGUGGGAUCAACACAACUAGGGAAGGAUCAUCCAAUCGGGAGAGGGAACAACCCAACCAGGGUGGGAUCAACCCAA
rnacentral:lncRNA from 1 species